rnacentral:rRNA from 1 species
AGAAUCAACGCUGGCGGCGUGCCUAACACAUGCAAGUCGCACGAGAAAGGGACUUCGGUCCUGAGUACAGUGGCGCACGGGUGAGUAACACGUGAAUCAUCUACCUCCGAGUGGGGAAUAACUGAGAGAAAUCUUAGCUAAUACCGCAUAAUACCUACGGGUCAAAGCAGCAAUGCGCUUGAAGAGGAGUUCGCGGCAGAUUAGUUAGUUGGCGGGGUAAUGGCCCACCAAGACGAUGAUCUGUA